CUUGAGGCUGGCUGACCCAUGUAAAAAUAGACUCAAACUCUGGACUUCAAUCCCCACAAGCCCUUGCUCCACUUCCCCAAAAUGCUUUGUAAUCUCACGGGAAUUCUCAGGUGGGCCGAGAUCGAAAAGGGAUUUAACCUGAUGGCAGAGGCUUUUGACUCUCUUUUGGACUUCUGUUUUUGGAGCAGACGUGGCUCUUUCCAUAAUGUAGUGUUGGAGAGAGAGGUACAAUGGCCUCCUUUCUGAGCCAAUGGUGACAUUUCUGAGCUCCAGGCCCUGCUAGGAGAGGAGAGGAGAGAAAAGAAGAGGCAUCUGAAGAGGAGAAAGUUGGAGGCCCAAGAGAGGACCAGAUAAAGGACCAAAAUAAAGGAAGCAAUGAGAGGAGCACAACAUGGGGGAACUGAUCUAAAGCUAUCAAGCAGGCUCUGCAAGUGUUUGCUGGGGCUCAUGCAUAUUGCAAAAGGGCUAUUUCUUGAAACACCUUUCCUUCUGGCUCCCUCCACCAGCCCCUGGAUCUGGUCUCACCUGGCCCAGCCUGUUCCUACCUUUAAAGGGAGGCUCAUCUGGAGUUUCCUUGGCAGGGGUCCUGGAGGGUCGGCCAUUUCCCUGAGGCCAACAGGGCUGAUGAGGGUCUGUGGCCCUUCUGAGGCCCUCCUGACACUGCUGAAUGAUUAAAUCUCAAAUCUCUGGCCUUCCUUUCUCUCCCAAGUUUUAUUUUCAUGCUCAGCUCCUGGAGGGCUGGGGGAGGAGCUCAGUCUGUUAUGUGAGGGUCACAAAGCUCAUCUUCCCCUUAGCUCUCUCCAUCAGCCUGGCCUAUCAUAGGCCUUUCACUGUGGAGUCAUCUGUGCCCUCAGGCUCUGGUCAGGCGCCAAGUCUUGGUUUGCCCGGUGGGAUGCUGCCUGGGUAGCUUCCAAGCAAAGAGGGCUGAUCCUGCUUGUUUUCCUCCUGAAUUUCCUCACCCAUGCCCCAGCAGAGGGUAAGUCACUGAAGGUAGGGCCUGCUUGCUGGUCUCUGUAUCCCUAUGAGAUCCUGGAGGCGCUGCCGCCACAGUGGGCUCAGUGUAGCCUGGCUGUGGGACUUGGAGUCUAUCAUAUCAGAACGAGUGGAAAAUACAAGCAAACUGAUGAGUAUAUCUUGGCACGUUGUGAUCCUCUGGGCUGGCUGUCCUACACUUUCAUAAUUUGCUAAGAAAAUGGAUGAUGUAAAGGAGAUAAUAGGGCAGUAGAAGAGGCCAUGAUGAAGACUGCUCACUUAAUGUACAUGAAUACUGCUGCCAGGUAGAAGAGAAUUUUAAUUUAGUUAUUAAAGUGGGCCCAUUUCUGGGGAUGCUUUAAAUCAGCAACAUUAUAUAGUCUUAAAUAUUUCUCUCUGAUGAACUAACCCCCCAAUUGCUUCACCAGCCCAACUGAGGUCUUUCUGUUCUUAAAAUAAAAACCCCAGGGGCAGCUGGGUAGCUGAGUGG
rnacentral:lncRNA from 1 species